ACUCCUGCGGGAGGCAGCAGUGGGGAAUUUUGGACAAUGGGCGAAAGCCUGAUCCAGCAAUGCCGCGUGAGUGAAGAAGGCCUUCGGGUUGUAAAGCUCUUUUGUCAGGGAAGAAACGGUGAAAGCUAAUAUCUUUUGCUAAUGACGGUACCUGAAGAAUAAGCACCGGCUAACUACGUGCCAGCAGCCGCGGUAAUACGUCGGGUGCAAGCGUUAAUCGGAAUUACUGGGCGUAAAGCGUGCGCAGGCGGUUUUGUAAGUCUGAUGUGAAAUCCCCGGGCUCAACCUGGGAAUUGCAUUGGAGACGGCAAGGCUAGAAUCUGGCAGAGGGGGGUAGAAUUCCACGUGUAGCAGUGAAAUGCGUAGAUAUGUGGAGGAACACCGAUGGCGAAGGCAGCCCCCUGGGUCAAGAUUGACGCUCAUGCACGAAAGCGUGGGGAGCAAACAGGAUUAGAAACCCCUGUAGUCCCAUG
rnacentral:rRNA from 1 species